UGAUUUGAGAAAUGCAAGGUUUUUAUC
rnacentral:piRNA from 1 species